UCACUUUGAUUACGAGAAUCCAACAGCUAUUUUUAUGACUUUGUCGUGAAAGUUGGAAGUAUCAUCACCGUUAAAGCUCUAUUAUAUGAGGUGUCUAUGUAUAACAUGAGUCGUUCAAGAGUGGCGGCUAUGAUUGUUUAUGCAAACUUCCUAUCACGUUUAAUGAUAGUUGAGAUUUAGAC
rnacentral:misc_RNA from 1 species